rnacentral:ncRNA from 1 species
AUGUUGUACAGAAGAGAAAAGUUUAGCACUCCCUGUCAAGAAUGGAAGAGGUGCUCACCCAAGAAACACCAUGCAUAUAGUUAAAGAGUGCCACCUAUUUGGUUGCAUCUGAUAACUGUUUCCAUAU